rnacentral:rRNA from 1 species
GUCUAUGGCCAUGCCAUCCUGAACACGCCGGAUCUCGUCUGAUCUUGGAAGCUAAGCACGUUAGGCCUGAUUAGUACUUGGAUGGGAAACCACCUACGGAUACCGGGUGCUGGAGCUC